GCCCCAAGCACGCGCCUUCUAAUGGCGCUGCAGUAGGCGGCGACGCUUUGUACGUAUAACACUGAGCUGAGCCUGUCCGCACCAGGAGCGCCCAUGGGCACGAGUCCCGCUCUGCCAGAGUGCGCCAGCUCCCAAGCGAUUGUGCCUUCGUCAUGUCAGCCGGGGCGCCGGUGGCGUUUGACACCAGCGACGAUUGAUCAUGACCGGGUUGUGAGGACGUACCAUACCGGGUGGCGAAGACAUCCACGGCUGGCGCGACCGGUACGCUUGCCGCAGUGUUGGUUGCUCAGGAUCAGGUACUGGUCCGCGUAACCAACAACAGUCAAGCGUCCGCAUAUUCAUCCCAAAAGCCGGAAUAUCCUUCUGAGCUGGCCGCAAGCAACACAGCGGUAAAAGCUGGAACAAUGCUCGUGACGAUCGUACGUCGAUCGGACGGCGGUACCGGCGAUCUUCCGUUUACAUACGGAACAAUAAUCCGGGCCCACUUCAAGGGGUUCAAUCCCUCGUUCGCCAAGAAGCUGCUAGGCGUCGUCCUGCAGGAGCUGGAAACUUAGUACUAGUAAUAAAUGUCAAGACACCACGGCGGUGUCGACAUAUUGACCUGUGCGUCCGCCUGAUUUUGUGUUUCCAUCACUAAAUGACAUUUAGGUUGAGACCUAUGCAGCGCGUAAACAGCAACACUGCAUGAGAAUAAACGUCGCAUAUGAUAAAUGCAUCGCCGUAGAAGCUUAUGCUGAAGGUAGCACUGCAUUGCAGCGAACUGUGAGCUUUUCGAUAUAUUAAAACGGGAAGUAGCUUAGUAAAUAAUUCGGGUAAGUAACCAGAAAUACUAUGGAGGAUAUAUGAAAUGGUGCCUUUGUGGCACUGCUCUUAAGAUUGGUUCCAAUUGCAGAUGCACAACCUUGGAGUAUGUGGUAUAUUAAACGUUUACGUCAAGCAUUGUGCACGUCUU
rnacentral:misc_RNA from 1 species